CUACGGGGUGCAGCAGUGAGGAAUUUUGCGCAAUGGGGGAAACCCUGACGCAGCAACGCCGCGUGAGUGAUGAAGGCUUUCGGGUCGUAAAGCUCUGUCAAGUGGGAAGAACCCACAGGGUGAUAAUACCACCAUGUGUUGACGGUACCACUGAAGGAAGCACCGGCUAACUCCGUGCCAGCAGCCGCGGUAAUACGGGGGGUGCAAGCGUUAUUCGGAAUUACUGGGCGUAAAGGGCGCGCAGGCGGUUUCUUAAGUCAGAUGUGAAAGCCCGGGGCUCAACCCCGGAAGUGCAUUUGAAACUAAGGGACUUGAGUAUGGGAGAGGGAAGUGGAAUUCCUGGUGUAGCGGUGAAAUGCGUAGAUAUCAGGAGGAACACCGGUGGCGAAGGCGACUUCCUGGACCAAUACUGACGCUGAGGCGCGAAGGCGUGGGGAGCAAACAGGAUUAGAUACCCUCGUAGUC
rnacentral:rRNA from 1 species